rnacentral:lncRNA from 1 species
AAGGACAGUGUAGGAGGAAAAAACGCAGAGAAGAGAAAAGAGAGAAGAAAAGGGAAGAAAAAGAAGGAGAAAAAGGAAAAAGGAAGAAGAAGAAGAAGAACAAAGAAAAGAGGUAGUUCAAGGUCUAUUUUCAUUUUUCUUUUCUCUUUAUUUUCUUCAAGAGGUAGAUAAAUUUUAUGUUAAAAUUCAAGGGUUUUAAUUUUGGCUCGAAAUUUUCAGAUUUGUCAAAUGAAUACUACUUGAAGCUCAAGUUAUUGAUUCUUGAAUUUCUAUCUACACUAAGGUAAGGAGAUAUCAAUUUUUUUGGGCAAAUCCUAGUUUUUAAAUUUGAUGAUUGAGCAUGGAUUAUUUGUGGAAAUGAUUACAUCAAUGGAAUUAAUCACCUGGAAGAAUGAUUUUGGGGAACGAUAGAUAUAUUAAUUUGGUUGUAGGAUGAUUGCUAGUUUUUCCCUAAAAUGAAAGGGAUAAAUAUUGUUAUAAUGGGACUGAAGUUAAAUUUGGAUGUGACAUAUAAUUGUGAAGGUAUUAGAAAGUGGAAAUUAGCUCCGACUGAUUAAAGGAAAUUUAGGAAAAUUUUGCACGUCUCGGGGAAUUUAGUUAAUUAUUAUAUCAUUAGAGAUAAAAGGUUUCUUUAAUUUAAUAGUGAUUAAAUUAGUUAUUUUGUAACGUAUUUCAGGUGGUGACGAAGAAAUUGGAAAAGCUUAUCGAUCCGCCUAGUCUGUAACCCGUAUUGUGUGAGUGGAU